rnacentral:lncRNA from 1 species
UUGAAAGAACAUGGCCAUCAGCAAACUGUGAGGACAGGAUGCUGCUGCCAAGGAGAGUGCUUCAAUAGAGACAGACCCCACAUUUGCUGGAAGCAGUCUGUUACCAAGACAAAUGGAAGACAGAAAGAUUUCCAACUGUAAACGACCUUGUACUGGAACGGAAGACACUGUUUCCUGAGCUGGAUUUAGCAAGCAUUAGCAUAGGACAGGACAUCAGAAGCACAACCCAGCAGACAAAAAGUAAGUAGGUGUGGAGAGGGGGCAUCAACAUUGAAGACUUGUGUGGAUCAAAUAAGAAAAAGCAGAAAAGGCAGCCUCCAGAAGGU